rnacentral:rRNA from 1 species
UACGUAGGUGGCAAGCGUUAUCCGGAUUUACUGGGCGUAAAGGGCGUGCAGGCGGCUUGUUAAGUGCAGGGUGAAAGCUCCCGGCUCAACUGGGAGAGGUUCUUGCAUACUGGCGAGCUCGAGGGAGGCAGAGGAAAGUGGAAUUCCCGGUGUAGUGGUGAUAUGCGUAGAUAUCGGGAGGAACACCUGUGGCGAAGGUGGCUUUCUGGGCCUUACCUGACGCUGAGACGCGAAAGCGUGGGGAGCGAACCGG